rnacentral:lncRNA from 1 species
AUGAAUGAGAGGUCUGGCACAGCUGUGGUGAGAAGCCUUCUGUUACUGGCCUGGCAUGGGAAAGGCAGAAAGAGUCGAGGAUCUGAAGGUGUGGAAACAGGAAGACUUCUGUGGUCCAGAGUUCCAAGACCUUCUGAUGAAGCGUGUGUCAGAAUUCUAUUCAUUCAAUGGGGAACAUGUCGUGAUUGA